AUUGAACGCUGACGGCAUGCUUUACACAUGCAAGUCGAACGGUAACAGGGUGCUUGCACCGCUGACGAGUGGCGAACGGGUGAGUAAUGCGUCGGAACGUGCCGAGUAGUGGGGGAUAACGCAUCGAAAGGUGUGCUAAUACCGCAUACGUACUGAGGUAGAAAGUGGGGGACCUUCGGGCCUCACGCUAUUCGAGCGGCCGACGUCUGAUUAGCUAGUUGGGGAGGUAAAGGCUCACCAAGGCGACGAUCAGUAGCGGGUCUGAGAGGAUGAUCCGCCACACUGGGACUGAGACACGGCCCAGACUCCUACGGGAGGCAGCAGUGGGGAAUUUUGGACAAUGGGCGCAAGCCUGAGCCAGCCAUGCCGCGUGUCUGAAGAAGGCCUUCGGGUUGUAAAGGACUUUUGUCCGGGAGCAAAUACCCAGUGCUAAUAACGCUGGGGGCUGAGAGUACCGGAAGAAUAAGCACCGGCUAACUACGUGCCAGCAGCCGCCGUAAUAC
rnacentral:rRNA from 1 species